rnacentral:rRNA from 1 species
UACAGGGGGUGCAAACGUUGCUCGGAAUCAUUGGGCGUAAAGCGCACGUAGGCGGUCUAUUAUGUCGGAUGUGAAAGCCCUUGGCUCAACUGAGGAAGUGCAUCCGAAACUGGCAGGCUAGAGUACUAAAGAGGAUCGCGGAAUUCCCGGUGUAGAGGUGAAAUUCGUAGAUAUCGGGAGGAACACCGGUGGCGAAGGCGGCGAUCUGGGUAGAUACUGACGCUGAGGUGCGAAAGCGUGGGGAGCAAACAGG